GCAUAGCCAUAAACAUUGAUAUUACCUACCCAAAUAUCCGCCAGGGGACUACGAGCACUAGCUUAAAACCCAAAGGACUUGGCGGUGCUUUAGACCCACCUAGAGGAGCCUGUUCUAGAACCGAUAAUCCCCGUUAAACCUCACCCUCUCUUGUUCCUCCCGCCUAUAUACCGCCGUCGUCAGCUUACCCUUUAAAGGCUCAAUAGUGAGCGAGACUGGUACAACCCCAAACGUCAGGUCGAGGUGUAGUAUAUGAGAGGGGAAGAAAUGGGCUACAUUCGUCUAAAGACGAACAACGAAUGAUUAGUUGAAAGUACAAAUCUGAAGGAGGAUUUAGUAGUAAGAUGAAAAUAGCGCGUCCAUCUGAACUUGGCACUGAAGCACG
rnacentral:rRNA from 1 species